rnacentral:rRNA from 1 species
UACGGAGGGUGCAAGCGUUAUCCGGAUUCACUGGGUUUAAAGGGUGCGUAGGUGGGUUGAUAAGUCAGUGGUGAAAUCCCCGAGCUUAACUUGAGAACUGCCAUUGAUACUAUUGAUCUUGAAUACCGUGGAGGUCAGCGGAAUAUGUCAUGUAGCGGUGAAAUGCUUAGAUAUGACAUAGAACACCAAUUGCGAAGGCAGCUGGCUACGCGAAUAUUGACACUGAUGCACGAAAGCGUGGGGAUCAAACAGG